rnacentral:lncRNA from 1 species
AUUAUGAGUCACGAGGAGAGUAGAAUGUAUACAGUAGGGGGGCGGUAUGUCAGAGAAGCUUAAGUCUGAGGGUCUGCAUUCUAGAACCAUUGCUGGGUCAGCUUCUGGAGCUGCUCUCACAUCUUGAGAGGGUUGAACAAUAUCUACCCAGAAGACUAGAAAAUAUAUAUGAAUAACAGUGAUUCCUUCAAGACGCUUAACAAUACAUAUCGGUCAAAAGCAUCUAUUUGAUGAUCAUGUUUGUUCCUUCAUUGACUGAGCCAAAUGAAGGCCUCGAGCAGAAAACCAGACCCAGCAUCUCUAAGGACGGCAUGGUGGUUCCAAAGAGCGCAGCCCCGGAGCUCUCAGCUGAAGCUCAGAGUUGGCAAUGCAGACAGAGCUGGGAGAAACCCAGCCACCAUCACCACCACCGCCACCGCAGGCAGGCCAUUGCCCCAGGCAGCAAUAAAGGCUCCCCGAGGCCUUUUGUCAAUUGCCCCCUGAACAGAAAAUAAACAUCUCCACGGCUGCCAUUCAGUGGACAUCCUGUUUACAUGCAGCCACAGGAAACCAGUGCAGAGACCAUCAGGAAAUUGUCAAAGAACAGCAAGAAGUAAAGAGGAUCGAUUCCUGGAGCCAAACAGGAUUGCAGGAAAUAACAAUAGCAAACCAGCAAAAAUUCAUGUUCCAGGGAACCCAUAUUUGAAUUCUCGCCAUUGUUCAAGCUGAAGAUGAUGAACCAUCAUUGCCUGUUUCCCUAUUCAUUAUCCUGUCAACAUCAAGAGCUGUUCCCAAAGAAGCUCUCAAAUUCACCUUUUAUUAAAGGCUACGAAUGAAUGAAAAAAAAAAAAAGAAACAUACCAAAUGGAAUGAGCAUCAUCUAUGCCAAAUAUUAGGUCUAAUAUUUGUGGUAGAAAUUUUACUAGGGAGAAUUUCAAAUCAAGACCAACCACUUCUUUCUCUGCUUAAUUUCUUUUCUGUGAUUUAUAGAUCAAAUGUAUACACACGAGUAUACCAAUGUGUGAAGAAAGUGGGGUUUCCUGAGGUUUACCUUAUGGUACAGGUAAACAUAUAGAGUACUCUGCUCAGAUUUGACUGGGUAAAAAAAUCCCAAACCUCUGUAGGUCAAAAAAUAAUCCAAAUUCAAAAGUUAAGCAACAGAUUUCCAACCAUAUAGUUUCAGUCAAUAUAUACUAUAUAACAUAUAUUUAUAGCUAAUACGUUUGCUAAUAUAUCUCUAGC